rnacentral:rRNA from 1 species
GAUGAACGCUGGCGGCGUGCCUAAUACAUGCAAGUAGAACGCUGAAGGAGGAGCUUGCUCUUCUGGAUGAGUUGCGAACGGGUGAGUAACGCGUAGGUAACCUGCCUGGUAGCGGGGGAUAACUAUUGGAAACGAUAGCUAAUACCGCAUGACAACAGUUAUUGCAUGAUAACUGUUUAAAAGGGGCAACUGCUCCACUACCAGAUGGACCUGCGUUGUAUUAGCUAGUUGGUGAGGUAACGGCUCACCAAGGCGACGAUACAUAGCCGACCUGAGAGGGGGAUCGGCCACACUGGGACUGGGACACGGCCCAGACUCCUACGGGAGGCAGCAGUAGGGAAUCUUCGGCAAUGGACGGAAGUCUGACCGAGCAACGCCGCGGGAGUGAAGAAGGUUUUCGGAUCGUAAAGCUCUGUUGUAAGAGAAGAACGAGUGUGAGAGUGGAAAGUUCACACUGUGACGGUAUCUUACCAGAAAGGGACGGCUAACUACGUG